AAUUCCUUUCUACAGUACAUCUGUCUAUUUGUAAUUAUGGUAACAACGGAUCAUAUAUUACUUUUACAGAAUAAAUUUUGUUCAUUUUGUUCUUACAGGAUGAAGGAUCUUUGCCUCCUACUCCAUUAUCGUGGAAGACAGAACAAAAAAUAAAACUUAACGAGUAAGUAUCAAUUUAAUCCAAAGUUCAUUUGUGUCAGAAUUUUGUGUUAGGACUUGCUACUACUCCUUUUCGGUACAGAAUAUUGGCAAAGCUUUUCUUUAACGCACUAAAGGCGAAUUAGAUCUUGGUCAAUGAUCUCCCUAAAUGUACAGUUAAACGUACCCCCCAAAAUAGCCUUGGAUAAGCAAACAUUUGGAAAACUUUGUUGCCUAAUAGAUAAAGCCUUGCAGUACAUUUUCCGAGCCUUAAUCAGACUCUGCAAUGAUAAAGAAAACCUUGUAGCGGGAUAACAAAACCUCAGAGAGGGCUCAGAUUGCAGACUCAAGAAACGCUCCCAGUCACACCUGUGCAAGCACUUCCUGUUCUCCAGCGCAGUUUCAGAGCAGUUAGGAAAUGCCCCGUAAACCCAGGUUUAGAAGCCAAACAUUAACUUUACACACCACUACUACCAUUGGAAAACGACCAACUCUCAAAUUCUCGCGAAACCAAUCCACACUCCCCUCCAAGGAGAGAACAAAACCAUCCAGGAUCUUUUCAGGAGCUGUGUGCUCGCGAGAGGCUGUGCGGAGGGAAAGUCAAGGCAGGCGCCCAGGAAGCCGGACCCUCAGAUCCAGUGCCCUGGGCGAUGGCAGCUCCUGCCCCUCGCGCCCUCAACAGCUCAACACCGUCCGGCAGGGCGGGCAGCGCCCCGCUCAGGCCCGCGAGGGUCGCAGGUCCUCAGAUCUUCAUCCAGAUCCAGUUUCUGGGACCUACCGUGAGCUGCCCCUUCCCAGCGCCAGGAGCGUGCGAUCCAGGGAAAAAAAAGCUCUGGGAGCCAGGACACUUGCACAGCCUGGGGCCUGGACGGCAUUGGGUGCACAGUAACAACAACA
rnacentral:lncRNA from 1 species